UGGGGAGGAGAGAGAGGGCUGCUCGCUGCUGCUCUUUGAAAAUUCCAACCGGGACAAAAGCUACCCCUUUGUCCCGGUUGGUAAUUCCAACCAGGACUAAAUCUUUUAUCCCGGUUGGAUAGACCAACCAGGAUAAAAGGAAUGGCCUUAAGUUCCGAUUGGUGGCUCCAAUCGGGAUAAAAAGUCCUUCCCACGCGGCCCCCCUCUCUCUCCAUGUUAUUUUUCUCCUCACACCCUUCCACCGGCAUAGCACUCCUCUCCACUCCUUAUCC
rnacentral:lncRNA from 1 species